CCCAGACUCCUACGGGAGGCAGCAGUGAGGAAUAUUGGUCAAUGGUCGGGAGACUGAACCAGCCAAGCCGCGUGAGGGAUGAAGGUACAGAGUAUCGUAAACCUCUUUUGUCAGGGAACAAAGGCGGGGACGUGUCCCCGGAUGAGUGUACCUGAAGAAAAAGCAUCGGCUAACUCCGUGCCAGCAGCCGCGGUAAUACGGAGGAUGCGAGCGUUAUCCGGAUUUAUUGGGUUUAAAGGGUGCGUAGGCGGGCUGUUAAGUCAGCGGUAAAAUGUCGGGGCUCAACCCCGGCCUGCCGUUGAAACUGGCGGCCUCGAGUGGGCGAGAAGUAUGCGGAAUGCGUGGUGUAGCGGUGAAAUGCAUAGAUAUCACGCAGAACUCCGAUUGCGAAGGCAGCAUACCGGCGCUCAACUGACGCUCAUGCACGAAAGUGUGGGUAUCGAACAGGAUUAGAUACCCGCGUAU
rnacentral:rRNA from 1 species